GACGAACGCUGGCGGCGUGCCUAAUACAUGCAAGUAGAACGCUGAAGAGAGGAGCUUGCUCUUCUUGGAAGAGUUGCGAACGGGUGAGUAACGCGUAGGUAACCUGCCUUGUAGCGGGGGAUAACUAUUGGGAACGAUAGCUAAUACCGCAUAACAAUGGAUGACCCAUGUCAUUUAUUUGAAAGGGGCAACUGCUCCACCACAAGAUGGACCUGCGUUGUAUUAGCUAGUAGGUGAGGUAACGGCUCACCUAGGCGACGAUACAUAGCCGACCUGAGAGGGUGAUCGGCCACACUGGGACUGAGACACGGCCCAGACUCCUACGGGAGGCAGCAGUAGGGAAUCUUCGGCAAUGGGGGCAACCCUGACCGAGCAACGCCGCGUGAGUGAAGAAGGUUUUCGGAUCGUAAAGCUCUGUUGUAAGUCAAGAACGAGUGUGAGAGUGGAAAGUUCACACUGUGACGGUAGCUUACCAGAAAGGGACGGCUAACUACGUGCCAGCAGCCGCGGUAA
rnacentral:rRNA from 1 species